rnacentral:rRNA from 1 species
CCUACGGGAGGCAGCAGUGGGGAAUAUUGGACAAUGGGGGAAACCCUGAUCCAGCCAUGCCGCGUGAGUGAUGAAGGCCUUAGGGUUGUAAAGCUCUUUCGACGGGGACGAUGAUGACGGUACCCGUAGAAGAAGCCCCGGCUAACUUCGUGCCAGCAGCCGCGGUAAUACGAAGGGGGCUAGCGUUGUCCGGAAUUACUGGGCGUAAAGCGCGCGUAGGCGGUUACGCAAGUCGGGCGUGAAAGCCCGGGGCUCAACCCCGGGAACUGCGUCCGAGACUGCGUGACUUGAGACCGGAAGAGGAGAGCGGAAUUCCCAGUGUAGAGGUGAAAUUCGUAGAUAUUGGGAAGAACACCAGUGGCGAAGGCGGCUCUCUGGUCCGGUUCUGACGCUGAGGCGCGAAAGCGUGGGGAGCAAACAGGAUUAGAUACCCUGGUAGUCCACGCCGUAAACGAUGAGUGCCAGACGUCGGGGGGCUCGCCCUUCGGUGUCGACGCUAACGCAUUAAGCACUCCGCCGUCGGGUAGGUACGGCCGCGAACGGUUAAAACGUACAAAGGAAGUUAGACGG